UACGUAGGGGGCGAGCGUUGUCCGGAGUUACUGGGCGUAAAGGGCACGCAGGCGGUCGCGCAAGUCUGAAGUGACAGUUCCCGGCUCAACUGGGGAAGGUCUUUGGAAACUGCACGACUUGAGGGCUUCAGAGGGACACGGAAUUCCGGGUGGAGUGGUGAAAUGCGUAGAGAUCCGGAGGAACACCAAAGGCGAAGGCAGUGUCCUGGGAAGUUCCUGACGCUCAGGUGCGAAAGCCAGGGGAGCGAACGGG
rnacentral:rRNA from 1 species